CGUCCCCGGACGUUGCUCUCUGCCCCGGGAACGUCGAGACUGGAGC
rnacentral:miRNA from 1 species